ensembl:lncRNA
UGCGUACCUUGGACCAGUGACAGCCUCUGCUCAGAAACCCCAGCCCAGGGGUCCUCCUGAAGCGGCCGCAGAGACAGAGUUUAUCGCGUCUCCCACAUCAGGGUCAAGCUGGGACCGGUGUCCACCAGCCUCCAGCUGUCUGGUUGUCCCGCUUCCCGGUGUUGGGUCACCCAGCGCGGAGCCCGAGGUCCCUUUGGGAGGGUCUGGGGGGGUCAUUCCAGUGCCUGCUUGCCGUGGUGCUGCAGCGUCCUUCCCCCGGGGACCCGCCACGUCCCUGGUCCGCGGUUCCACGUCUGAGAACUGGCUCGGGGGCAGAACCUGGGCGAGGGAUCAUGACUUGUUCACUGGGGCGGCUGCCCUCGGCCUCCUGCCGUCCAUCCUUGCUCUUUUGAGUGUCCGUCUUAGACUGUAUCUUGGUUGGUUGCCCAUCCAUCGAGUCCCCGGGAAGCCGUGUGGUACUGACCACCUGCCCCGCUCGCGCUUCAGGUCCCACAGCAAACCGGGGCGGCUGGCUACCCUGUCUCCUGGGACGGAGGGCACCUGUGGGGAAGGACACGGGUCCUGUUUGCUCCCUCGGGGGAUGCAGGUUUGCCCAAGUGGGCUUCCGAUGCUGGUGGGACGGGCGUGCCUUGGUUGA